rnacentral:lncRNA from 1 species
GGGUUGUUGCGGGAUCUCACAGGCUUUAAACCGCGGCGCCGCGGCGCCCGGGUGUGGAUCCCUAGAUGGGAGCCGGGGAUGGGCCGGGUGCCUGGUGGGUGGCAGUCGGGGCUGACGGCGGCGGCACUUUGCCGCCUCAGGCCCUGGACACCUUCACCCCGCCGCCUGCCCAGGCGGGCCGGCCCUGCCCGUCCACCGGCCGCCGAGAGUCCCCGGCCUUGGGUCCCCGGGGCCGCUGACUGGCCUCGGUCACCUCCCGGGGAAGGCUCCCGCGCCUCCAUCUGCCCCCGCAGGAAGGGACCCUCUUCUCGCCCGCGAGGCUUCUCCGGGUGGGAUCGUCCUGGCCCCCAGCCCUAAGGGAUCCGCCCCCUCCGAGCAUCCGCCGCCCCUCGGAGACCACUCCAGCUCGGACGGACCCACUCCAGCCCCCGCUGCACGCGGAAGCGCUCAUCCUCCCCGCCUGCCCCGUUCCCUCCCCCUUCUCCUGUGGGACAACCAGGGACCGCAGCUCCCCGCUCCCCAGGUGUGGGGGCUCCGACACGAACGCCUCUGCUCGCAGGGCGGUGAGCGCAGAUCCCACGGGUCCCUCGGUCGGGGGUCGAGGCUGCUUCCGUUUCCAUCCCGGACCCGACAAUGGGCGGGAAAAAGAAGGCUUUACACGACUACGCGGCGGAGUUCACCGACCUGGUGGUGAAGCACCUGAUUGAGCACAGUGACUCUGGGGACACGUCUGUGGUGGAGACCCUUUACUGCAGGGCCUGCGAGCUGCCCGUGCGCGUGCGGAGGGACCGCAUCCUGGAACACCUGUCCUCGGGCAGGCAGCACGGCCUGCGGACGCCCAUUCUCAUGUAAAUGUCAGUGCCAACGCUGGUGUUUCAGGAGUCAUCCCAGCGGGCUGCGGGCUAUUUUAGGAUUCUCUGCCCUGCAAACGUUUCCAAAGUACGUGGACAGGCCGCCUGAUGACACUACGUUUACGGGAUCUGCUAGUGGCUUGCCUACUUAGGGAGUAAACCCUGUGAAGUCUCGCAGUUUUGUUAAAGUGUGCGUGGCCACCUGAAUGCUGCCUUAUCACAAGCCAGAUACAUACUGGUCUGUAGGGUAACUCCCCACUGUUGAUCCUCUGAGAUGAUUGUGGACUGGGUGCUGUGAGUCCUGCCACUUUGUUUAAGUGAAUGUGUCUUUUGUCCAGCUCAGCCGCCUCGGAUCUCGCUGCCACCAGCCUUACUGCACACCCGUGCCACCCGCCCUUGCCCCGUCAGCCUCAGCCUCAGCUCAUUCUCUCAGGCAGUCCCAGCAUUGGCACGGUACCUCCUCCCGCUGUGGGCCACACGUCUCUGCUCCCUGUCAACCCUCCUGCCAUCAGCACCACCACCAGCGACUUGUCUGCCCGGGAGGAUGCAACACCAUCUGCCUCCACCGGCCACCUUUCAGUGUUUCCUGCUUUCCAAGUAAAGAUACCAGCAGUGCCCUCAGAGCAGACCAGCCAGAGUUUUUCUGAAGCCUCCCACAGGGUGCUCCCCGGAGGAGGCCCGAGAUGCUCUCGUGACUUUGGAGCCGGGGUGGCUGGCCACCUUGGCCUGGGCAUCUUUGGGGUGGGCUUCGGGAGCCCGGCACUGCUGCAGAGUGUGGUGGAUGAGAACAGCUGCUGCUUGCUGUACGUGGUGGAGGACCAGCUGUGUGAUGUGGAGCAAGCCUUCAGAGCUGAGCAUUUGGGCCAACACCAGAGUGGUUCGGGAACAGGAUGCAGACAUUGUCCUCAACGACCAGCGGCACUUUGAUCCGGUUUUCCAGUUCUUGCACAAGCAAGUUUGUGUCAGCCACGCCCUGGGGAGGAUCCACUGGAUCACCGCCGUCACUGCCUGUUCCCGGCGGCCUCUCCGGCUUCCCUAAAGAGAGCAGGUGGGACUUUCUACAACGCUGCUGUGCACGACGUGGAUGCCGUAUGCAUGUUGCUGGGGGAAGCCACUCCGGACACUGUGUUUUCUCUGGGACAUGUCUUCUGCCCAGAUAUGGCCGCCUUAAAAGAUGCAGAUGCUGUUGUGAUCAGCAUGAAGUUUCCCUGUGAGGCCGUGGUUAGCGUGGACAUCAGCCAGCACUGCACAGACAGCUGCGACCAGGACGUCAGCCAGCACUGCACAGACAGCUGCGACCAGAGACUGGAGGUGACCCUUGCCCUUUUCCACCCUUCGCCAGUCCACUGUGAAAAGCUGGGUUGAUUGUGCGGGUUAGAUAGAGGUCAUCAGCCGGGUUGAUUGUGUGGGUUAGACAGAGGUCAUCAGCCAGGUUGAUUGUGUGGGUUAGAUAGAGAUCAUCAGCCUGGUAGAUUGUGUGGGUUAGAUAGAGGUCAUCAGCCAGGUUGAUUGUGCGGGUUAGAUAGAGAUCAUCAGCCGGGUUGAUUCUACAGGUUAGAUAGAGGUCGUCAGCCGGGUUGAUUGUGCGGGUUAGAUAGAGAUCAUCAGCCGGGUUGAUUGUGCGGGUUAGAUAGAGGUCAUCAGCUGGGUUGAUUGUGUGGGUUAGAUAGAGAUCAUCAGCUGGGUUGAUUGUGUGGGUUAGAUAGAGGUCGUCAGCUGGGUUGAUUGUGCGGGUUAGAUAGAGGUCAUCAGCCGGGUUGAUUCUACAGGUUAGAUAGAGGUCAUCAGCUGGGUUGAUUGUGCGGGUUAGAGAUCAUCAGCCGGGUUGAUUGUGCGGGUUAGAUAGAGGUCAUCAGCCGGGUUGAUUGUGCGGGUUAGAUAGAGAUCAUCAGCUGGGUUGAUUCUGCAGGUUAGAUAGAGGUCAUCAGCUGGGUUGACUAUGUGGGUUAGAUAGAGGUCGUCAGCCGGGUUGAUUGUGUGGGUUAGACAGAGGUCAUCAGCUGGGUUGAUUCUGCGGGUUAGAUAGAGGUCAUCAGCUGGGUUGAUUGUGUGGGUUAGAUAGAGAUCAUCAGCUGGGUUGAUUGUGUGGGUUAGAUAGAGGUCAUCAGCUGGGUUGAUUGUGUGGGUUAGAUAGAGGUCAUCAGCUGGGUUGAUUGUGUGGGUUAGAUAGAGGUCAUCAGCUGGGUUGAUUGUGUGGGUUAGAUAGAGGUCAUCAGCUGGGUUGAUUGUAUGGGUUAGAUAGAGGUCAUCAGCUGGGUUGAUUGUACGGGUUAGAUAGAGGUCGUCAGCCGGGUUGAUUCCGCAGGUUAGAUAGAGGUCGUUAGCUGGGUGUGUGGGUCCCAAGGCGUGCUGCAGAUGGAGAAUCAGAAUUCCUUGGGCAUCACCGGGCGGGGCAUGUCCCUGUCCCUUCGCUCCCAGACCCAGGCUAGCCGCUACCAGGACUCCUAUCGAGAGCUCUUCAGACACUUUGUCAGAACCCUUAAAGGUGGGUGACGUUUUCAGGAGGAACCUGGGAUGUCCUGAUGCUCAAUGGGUAGAUGCCUUCCAGGCUGCAGUCAGUGCAGAUGAUAUGCCAAUUUCAGGUGGAAAAUUGCAUUCCAGAUACCGGGUUCAGAUUUGAAAUUGUCCAUCUCAGUGAUCAUUUACGUUGCGUGUACUUGAGGGAGAUUCUGAGAGAUGCUCCUUUGGGGUUCUGUGCGUGUACCAUGUUGCCUGACACGUCCUGAGAAAUCUUCUUAAACUCUGAGUUUAUAAAAUAACUACUUCUGAACUCCUGAGAUCUAGUGGAUACCAUGUAUCCUGGAAGAUAGGACACUUUCUACCCUCUGUCAGUCCUGGGGGUGACUGGGAACCAGAGAGGUUGAGCAGAAUUCCUGGACCUGGGUGGGGCUUGUCCAAGAGGGGCAGGUGGGCCUCUCUAGGAUCAGUGUCCCACCCAGAGGCCAGUGGCCCCUUCACAUGCCCCAACAAGAGGAAGACUGUCUGGCUCCGCAGUGUUGGGUUUUGUCCUGAAUCUGUGCAAAUGUGCAGGGAAAUAACCUCCUGAAAUCACCAAAGAGCAGUUCCUCAGGGCCUUCCGGGUGACCGUGGCCGUGGAGCAGUCGUGGUGAAACCGGUCAGCUGUGGACCUGCCCUGCGAAUCGGCAGAGGCCUCCGUGGUGAAGACAGAAGCUCCGUGAACCAACUCGAGGCUGGAGCCAAGAUCCUGCCUGAUAUCCAGUUGCCUGUUUCACUUGUUACUGUUACUGGGAGAGGGAGACAAAACCUCAUGGCAAUCUUGUCCUCACUGGAGACUCAGAAGGGGAAGCAUUGGGAAACCAUGUAUGUUUCAUUUCUGGUUUAACCAGGCUUUUCAGGAUGGGACUUCAGACCAAGGACACAAGUUGGGCUUGCUUAGGUGUUUUGUGUUGUGCGCAGGCCUCAGAGAUGCUCUUCCGGUCAGAGUUCCCUUGGCAGGGCCUUGGAGGCCUCUGGUUGGCUCUCUCAGGAAGAGGGCAGGUCAGGGAUUGGGCGGUGUAAAUUGACUCAGAAACCUGCGGUUUCAGCUUUUCUGUGGCAAACAGGGCCGAGGGCUGGUGAAGCUGUUAAGGCUAAAUGUCGCAUGCAUGAGGCGGGCUGCAGGCCUCCUUAGGCCUUUUUUGGGGUAAUUACACCAGUAUUUAAAAACAUUUUUUUUUGUUUGUUUUGAGAUGGAGUCUUGCCCUGUCACCCAGGCUGGAGUGCAAUGGUGCGAUCUCGGCUCACUGCAACCUCCGUCUCCCAGGUUCAAGCGAUUCUUCUGCCUCAGCCUUCUGAGUAGCUGGGAUUACACGCGUGUGCCACCACGCUCGGCUAAUUUUUGUAUUUUUAGUAGAGAUGGGAUUUCACCAUGUUGGCCAGGCUGGUCUCGAACUACUGACCUCGUGAUCCACCUGCCAUGGCCUCCCAAAGUGCUGGGAUUACAGGCGUGAGCCACCAUGCUCGGCCUAAAAAACAAUUUUCUUGAAGAAUCCGAUUUUGUGCAUAGUAAUGACACAGCACCAUUCCUGAGAAAUAGGAAAUAUAUGUGUGUGGUAUGAAAAGCCCAUAUUCUGUUCUUGUCACCUGAAUCUAGGCUUCCUCUUUGGAUGUGAACGCGGGAAUGAACAGUGGCUGUUUUCCACCCAAAGGGGCGUGGAGACCUUUUGGAAACGGGCUUUCUCCUUUCCAUUUUGCAGCCGGGGGCGGGUGGAAACCUUCCUUCGAAGGGUAGUGCCUUGGGGAGCAGCAGACCUGCUCUGAGUCCAGCUUAGCUUUCCAAAAUUCUGUGUGGAACUUACUGGAGAUGUUUUUAUAUAUUUGAAAAUAAUGGCCUGUAUUUCUCACGCUAUACUUAAAAAAAAUAACUAACCUUUUAAACAAAGAUAUUCAAACUCACCCUUGUGCUGAAAGCACUCACAUUUCUGUGUUCAUUCCUGAAAGGGCGUUUUAGAGUCCCCGUUUCUACGUUCUAUGUGGCACCCUCUUGCCGAGGGAACAUCCAGAAUCCCUCCACUUCCUGUCUAGUUUGAGGCCUCAACACCUUCAUGAUCCAGAGUCCUGCGGCUAUGAGGGGGUGGGCCCACCACCGCCCAGCCCUCCUUGGUGGACGUGGGGACAGGUAGGAGCCUAGGGAAAGGGGUGGGCGGGCUCUGGUGUGACGGCGUGAGCGCUAGCCAGGAAGAUGGGGCCAGGGCUUGGCAUGGCACCUCACCUGUGGGGGAACUCGGCGGAGCUUCCUGGCGGCAUCUCCCCCUCUUGCCUUGGUCCUUUCUAUCUUUGUUUUAGGCCAAUUUCUAAAAAGACUGAGGCCUCCUUCAAGGUUGAACAGAUUUCUAGAGCCUUGUUUUUGCUGUGACAAGUCCCUAGUCCCUGUUCACAACUCUGAAACCAAGAAACCUGAGAACCAAGAGAACUGAAAUGAAGCCCGUUGGUCUCAGCCUGGCUUGAGCCAACAUGAGGCUCUCUGCUGCCUUUUGUUUUCUUAGGUUUUGCUGAGAAACGGGAGUGCGUUCUGUGUCGGUGUUUGUGACGCCCUGAGACCCUGCUUGGCCUAGCUAAAGUCCAGAAGGCCUGGGCCCCACAGGGCUUGGAUGAGGGCUCAUGGGCCUGUACUUCAGGAGGCCUGAGAGGCCCGGUCAGUCCCAUGAGGCUACUCGGCUUGGCCCGCAGGUCCUCCGAGGCACAGGGCAGAGGGACACCCCAGGGACCCAUCAGACUCACGACACAGAGAAACUCAAGUGGGGUGCCAGGGCCGGCCACAGAGGCCACGGGCUUCCUGCCUGUGAGGAGCCGCCCUGUUUGUCUGAGCCCUUUGGAGAUUUAGGUUGAGUCAUGAGAACCGGUCAUUGGAACAUACACUUUAUUAUGUUACAAAAACAAAAAUCCCCACUGAAACACAGCUAAAAAAAUAACACAUUUUCCCAAGAUUACAUUACCAAAAACAGUUGUUAUGUCAUUGGAGGGCGUCCAUUAAUACUGCUCGGAGAAGCACGAUCUUACACGAAAAACACGGAUGGGAUUUCGUUUUCACCUUAAAGCAUUAAAGUGCUUUAACUGGUAA